UAGCCGCUGUCACACGCACAGU
rnacentral:miRNA from 1 species